rnacentral:misc_RNA from 1 species
UUCCCAGUCGACGUACAGAACGACACGUCCUUCAGAUAACAGCCAACGGCCUAAGGGAGCCCAUAAAUCCGGACUGCCCGUUGUUUGACCGAAUCCAUUCAGCAUGCAGCCCAUGCUGACGCUAGCAAAGAUUGGAUCCUUUUUAAUCUGCGCGCCAAGGUUUAGCACCACGCGACCGUCGUGCUCCAGCUCGUCACGCUCGGCGAAGAUCCGAAAUUGUGUGUUUGGUGGUGGGUAGGUGAGAUACAAAAGCUUUAAGUCAGAAGCGAUCCACUCCGCUAGCGGUUCAUCCAAAAGAGGUAUUUCG